rnacentral:lncRNA from 1 species
UAUACACCACUGGCCAACAACUCUAAACAAGAACCAUACAAAACAUUUAUCAAUCAAGAAAGUGAAAGAAAAAACGGAAAAAUAUACCAAUACAGGUAAAGAUAAGGUAGUUACUGGUUGUUGGGCGUUUUGAAACUUGUUCUUGAUGCUGAUUUCUUGGAAUUUUCCAAAGGCAGGGACAGUGAUUUGAUAGAAGCAGAGGAUAAGAGUGCAUUAGAAGGUGAAAAAAGGGUGUGAAAAACAGGGAGAUUUGUGCUGCUGGAGAUUGAUGUCUCCAAACUAAGAAGAUGGGUCAUCU